rnacentral:rRNA from 1 species
UACGUAGGGUGCGAGUGUUGUCCGGAAUUAUUGGGCGUAAAGGGCUCGUAGGCGGUUUGUCGCGUCGGGAGUGAAAACCCAGGGCUUAACUCUGGGCUUGCUUUCGAUACGGGCAGACUAGAGGUAUGCAGGGGAGAACGGAAUUCCUGGUGUAGCGGUGAAAUGCGCAGAUAUCAGGAGGAACACCGGUGGCGAAGGCGGUUCUCUGGGACGGUACUGACGCUGAGACGCGAAAGCGUGGGGAGCGAACAGG